UUAAGUUCAGCGGGUAGUCCCGCCUGAUUCGAGGUCAAAAAAGAAUAUGCGUAAAAGCCAAAUUAGAAGCAACCCAAGAUGAGAAUUGGCCAUCCCGAAAGAUGUCCCCAGCGGUCAGAUUCAUUAUCACGCUGAGUAAAACCAACGCCACAACAUGAGGAUCAGCUAAUGAUUUAAGGCCAGCUGUUCCAAUGAAAGGA
rnacentral:misc_RNA from 1 species